ACCAUGAAUAACCCUGGCCGCCCAAAGACUGCUUCUGAUUCCGUCUUCGAUUUCACGAAUGACGAUUCCUUCCCGGCCAAUGCCGACGAGGACAUGUCCUUCCGUUUGGUUGAUGGAAAGCCUCCUCCGCGCCCCAAAUUUGGCCCUAAAUGGCGUUUCAACCAACAAAGGACGCAGCUACCUCAGCGCCGUGACGAAGAAGUUGAAGCUCGAAAGCGCGAGGCCGAGAAGGAGCGGGCUCGCCGUGACCGCCUUUACAACCUCAACAGGUCUAAUGUCAAUGCCCCCCGUCGUGAAGCUGCUGUUUUCAAAUCCUCUGUCGAAAUUCAACCCGAAUGGAACAUGCUUGAUCAGAUUCCCUUCUCCACUUUCUCCAAGCUAUCCUUCUCUGUUCCUGAGCCCGAAGACCUUCUUCUGUGCGGCGGGCUAGAGUUCUAUGAUCGAGCAUACGACCGAAUCACUCCCAAGAACGAGCGCCGCCUUGAGCGCUUCAAGAACCGCAACUUCUUCAAGGUAACUACUACUGACGAUCCUGUCAUUCGUCGUCUAGCAAAUGAGGACAAAGCCACAGUUUUUGCUACCGAUGCCAUCCUUUCUACCCUUAUGUGUGCAACUAGAUCGGUUUACUCCUGGGAUAUUGUGGUUCAG
rnacentral:misc_RNA from 1 species